rnacentral:rRNA from 1 species
UUUGAAGAUAUAAUCGGUCUAGCCUGCUCACUGACAAAAAGUUGUUUAAGAGCCGCGGUAUUUUGACCGUGCAAAGGUAGCAUAAUCAUUAGUUUUUUAAUUAGGAACUUGUAUGAAAGGUUGGACAAAAGAAAAGCUGUCUCUAUUGUAAAAGUUGAAUUUAACCUUUAAGUGAAAAGGCUUAAAUGUCUCAGGGGGACGAUAAGACCCUAUAAAGCUUUACAUAAUUGUUGAGUUUAAUUGAAUUAAUAUGAUAAGUGUUUAGCUAAAUUGUUAUGUUUUAUUGGGGCGAUAUAGGUAUAAGUUUAGUUAACUGCUUGAACAAUAUACAGUAAUAGGUGAGUAAAAUAAAAGAUCCUUUUUAGAGAUUAAAAGACUAAGUUACUUUAGGGAUAACAGCGUUAUUUCUUUUGAGAGUUCCUAUCGAAAAAGAAGUUUGCGACCUCGAUGUUGAAUUAAAAUGUCUAUAUAGUGCAGUCGCUGUAAGAGAAGGUCUGUUCGACCUUU